rnacentral:rRNA from 1 species
UGGGGAAUAUUGCACAAUGGAGGGAACUCUGAUGCAGCGACGCCGCGCGAGUGAUGAAGGAAUUCGUUUCGUAAAACUCUGUUCUAUGGGUAGAAAAGGACUGUACCAUAGUAGAAAGCUCCGGCUAAAUACGUGCCAGCAGCCGCGGUAAUACGUAUGGAGCGAGCGUUGUCCGGAAUUAUUGGGAGUAAAGGGUGCGCAGGCGGCUUUACAAGUUGGAUGUGAAAUAUUGUGGCUCAACCACAAACGUGCAUCCAAAACUGCAAAGCUUGAGUUAAGGAGAGGUAAGUGGAAUUCCUGGUGUAGCGGUGGAAUGCAUAGAUAUCAGGAGGAAUACCGGUGGCGAAGGCGACUUACUGGACUUAAACUGACGCUCAGGCACGAAAGCGUGGGGAGCAAACAGG